AUGGCGUUCAUGGCGAGCGGCAGGGUGGCGAUCGCUCCGACCAGAGCAAGGUUCGUCACUCCCCGCAGCCUCUUCAACUGGGGCAGAGGCGCAAAAGACGCCGAGACGCCGCCGCCGCAGUUCCAGUACCACGGCGUGGAGCCGCCGUUCCCCAUGUCGCUCGUGGCCAAUACGCACCUCAGAGGACGCGAGCUCAGCUGCUGUUACAGGGCCACCGUUGACGGCUUCAGCGCGACGGACUUCCACCGGCGGUGCGACUUCAAGGGCCCCUGCGUCGUCGUCGGCUACACGGCGGGAGGCUCCUUCAGGUUCGGCGGGUUCAGCCCGGAGGGGUACCGCAGCACGGACGACUACUACGACACGCUCGACGCCUUCCUCUUCUACUGGCCGCCGGCAGCGCCGGAGGACACCGCCGCUGCCGUUCCGGUGGUGCUGCCCAAGGUGGGCGGGAGCGGUGCUGCGCUGUUCGACUACUCACGGGGCGGGCCGCAGUUCGGCGCCGACGGGCUGCUCAUCGGCCCGCCGCUCACCGCCGUGAUGGGGGUGUUCACGGGGCCCGACGCCAGCGUUGGCGUCGGCGACCUCCGGCGCGCGCGGUCACGGCUUGGGCUGUCCUACGCGAAGAGGGAGGACGGCAAGGAGAGCCUGUUCGGCGACGAGUCCAAGGUCGAACUCGACGAGGUGCUGGUCUUCUGUAGCCCACAGAUUGCCAGCAUGUACUAG
rnacentral:rRNA from 1 species